UGUGUAUUUUUUUUAUUUUUUAGUACUAUUUGGUUACUUAAUUUUUUUUCCUUUUAAAAGCAUACAGACAUUUUUUUAUUUUUUAUUUUUUCAGACGAUGUUUAAUUAAAUUUUUCUGCGAUAAAAUCGUUAAAGAUAUCAUUUUUAAAGUUUUAGUAUCAUUUGUUUCCCUUUUAGAAAUGUUAACUAAUUUUUUGUGCUAUUCGUCCG
rnacentral:lncRNA from 1 species